AGUGAACGCUGGCGGUAGGCCUAACACAUGCAAGUCGAACGGCAGCACAGUAAGCGCUCGCUAUUACGGGUGGCGACUGGCGGACGGGUGAGGAAUACAUCGGAAUCUACUUUUUCGGGGGGGAUAACGUAGAGAAACUUACGCUAAUACCGCAUACGACCUACGGGUGAAAGCAGGGGAUCUUCGGGCCUUGCGCGAUUGAAUGAGCCGAUGUCGGAUUAGCUAGUUGGCGGGGUAAAGGACCAACAAGGCGACGAUCCGUAGCCGAUCUGAGAAGGUGAACGGCCAAAGUGGGACUGAGACAAGGGUCUAACUCCCUCGGGAAGACGCAGUGGGGAAUGUUCUGAAAUUGGCGGAAGCCUGACGCCGCCAAGCCGCGUGAGUGAAGAAAGUCUUCGGAGCGUAAAACCCUUUUGUUGGGGAAGAAAAAGUGACAGGGUAACUCCCCGAGUUUUGAAGGUACCCAAAAAGAAAGCCACGGCUAACUACGUG
rnacentral:rRNA from 1 species